rnacentral:rRNA from 1 species
CACGUAGGGCGCAAGCGUUGUCCGGAAUUAUUGGGCGUAAAGAGCGUGUAGGCGGCCAGGUAGGUCUGCUGUGAAAACUCGAGGCUCAACCUCGAGACGUCGGCGGAAACCAUCUGGCUAGAGUCCGGAAGAGGAGAGUGGAAUUCCUGGUGUAGCGGUGAAAUGCGCAGAUAUCAGGAAGAACACCCGUGGCGAAGGCGGGUCUCUGGGCCGAUACUGACGCUGAGGUGCGAAAGCGUGGGGAGCAAACAGG